CCAUGUGUACUAACAGUGGUUGUGUGGAUCCACUCAACUGGCAUCCCAAAGGACUUGAAGUCAUUACUAAAUUGGUAGGUGACCCCAAAGAGAAUGUCAAUCCUAAACUGGCGGGUGACAUCUCAUAGAAUGUUAGUCCUAAACAGGCAGGUGACAUCUCAUAAUCCUACAAUGGCUAGUAUUUCUAGAACAUAGGGACUGCUUCUAUAGACCCAGACCUAACUGCUAGGCGAUCC
rnacentral:lncRNA from 1 species